UCCACCUGCAUUUAAAGCAUAGGUGUGAGAAGCCUACUCCAUUCCCCCGCCCGCCCGGCCCGCCACCACCAGCCCUCCCCAGCCCUCAUCCCAAGCCUACAAAGGCCUCAGUGUGAUCUGGCUCUACUUUCCAGGAAAUGGCCUGGACACAAAGGGGCUCCUCUGUUCCGGCGCUGGAUGUCCCGGAGGCCCGGGGGCAGCGGGCGAGAGAGCGAGCUUGGGACUUGGGUCUUAGUCCCAGAUACUACGUGGACAGCACCGAAGACUGCUGCAUCCCCACCUCCAGCCUAUAAGCUAUUCCUCCGUGCGGACCAGCCCCCUUUGUAAAGACCCCACCACUGCCUUCGCUCCAGUCCAACCCCGACCCUCAGUGCCGCUCGGAUCCAUCCCACCUCUGCUCCCAGGGCCGCCGCCGUGGCCCAGGCACUGGAAGACAGCCGAAGUCUCACUUUAGCUCCCGACCCUAGCACCUGGCUGCGGGGGAGCGGGGCUGUCCAGGCGUCUCCAGAGCGCUCCUGCGCGCUCCAGACGCGGGGUGCCCGGGUGACUGCCUGAGCCAGCUCCUCGAGCCCUAAGUGGAUUCCCAAGCGGGGCUCAGAGGCGCUGCAGUACGCGUCCCACAGCGGAGACCGACCCCAAACCCGCCCCUCCAAACUCUCGCGCGAACAGGCAGCUUAGGAGCGGCUCCCGGACAGCUAGGACCCCGGUGGAUCGCAGGACCCAGACUUGCGUGGCGAGGAGCUCCACGUGACCAUCAGGGGUCAGCCGAAGAAUAGGAGUGGCUUGAAGCAGGGUCAGAGCCUGACGUCGUGCGCGGAGGCGGUCAGGCUCACACACGCCAAUCUAGGUGGGCUCGGACCUGCUAAAAGAAAGGUAUGCGGGAGCCAGAGAGAAGCCCUGGUUUUAAUACCCGGGAAACUACAUCUCCCAGGAAGCACCACAUCACCACGCUGAUACUUUGUUAGUAGCUACAGGUUUUAAGGUUCCUGGGACCUGUAGUUUGUCAGGUUCUCCAACUCACAUUUUACACAAAACGGGGAAACCAUACUGUACCUCUUACAAGAAUCCGACACUAGGGUUCUAGCCAGCCACACCAGAGGCCUAACUGCCCAGGAAUGACAUACUUCUCCAAUAUCCUGAAUUUUGGACUUGAGAAUUUUAUCUUCAUUUCUGGGUGAGGCUUUGACUUAGUUUUUUCCAGUUGUGAUAUUGGGUUUCCAAAAGAGUUCCUUUGACUUUUUUCAUGUAAGAUGUCUGUAGUAGUGCUUAGCUGUCUAACUUCAUUCGAAGCGAUUUUGUUAGAUUGUAGUGUGACAGUUGUCUUAUCAGCAUGCACUAAAAAUACUUAGAAAAUUGGUUAAUUAUUGUGUAGCCAUUUUACUAUUUAAGAUGAAAGAAAAAAGCAACAUUUUUGGCAUAUUGCUUUAUUAUUUCAAGAAAGAAAAGAAUGCAACUGAAACGCAAAAAGAUGUGUGUUGUGUGUGGAGAAGGCGCUGUGAUUGAUGAAAUGUGUCAAAACUGGUUUGCAGAGAUCCCGGCUAGAGAUUUCUUGCUGGAGGAUGCUCCAGGGUUGGGUAGGCCAGUUGAGGUUGAUAGCAAUCAAUCAAGACAUUGAGAACAAUCAGUGUUACACCAUGAGGGAAGACAGCUGACAUACUCAAAAUAUCCAAAUCAGUGAAGAGAUUUUUUAAAAGAAUCCAAAUCAGACGUUGAAAAUAAUUUGCAGCAGCUUGGUUAUGUUUUGUUGUUUGGGUUCCAUGUGUGCUAAGCAGGAAAAAAAAAAAAACCCAAACACCACCUUCUUGGCUGUAUUUCCACAUGCGACUCUCUGCUAGCCCUAACGAAAACGUUCCCUAUUCUUUUUUUAAAUUACUUUGGCCGCCACAAUUGGAGGCAUGCAGAACUUCCCUGGCCAGGGAUCGAAACUGCGCCCCUUGCAGUGGAAGCGCAGUCUUACCCACUGGACUACCAGGGAAGUUCCAAGACACUGUUUUUAAAACAAAGUGUGAUGAGCAAUGAAAAGUGAAUACUGUACAGUAACAGGACACAAAAAGGAUCCCAGCAGAGGCAAAAUGAAUCACCACCAACUACACCAGAGGCUGGUCCUUACACAAAGAAGGUGAAGUUGUGUGGGAUGGGGAGUUCUCUAUUAUGAGCUCCUUCCAGAAAACCAAACAAUUAAGUCCGACAAGUACUGUUCCCAGUUAGAUCAACUGGCAGCAGCUCUCAAUGGGAAGUGUCCCAAAUUAACAGAAAAACACAAUCUUCCAUUGGGAUAACGCAAGACUUUGAUGACCAGGCAAAAACUGUUCCAGCUUGGCUGGGAAGUUCCAACGCAGCUGUUGUUUUCAAUGGACAUCGCACCUUCGGAUUUCCAUUCAUUUUGGUCUUUACAAAAUUCACUUAGUGAAAAAAAUUUCAAUCCUCUGGAAGACUGUACAAGGCACCUGGAACAGUUCUUUGCUCAAAAAGAUGGAAAGUUUUGGGAAAAUGGAAUUAUGAAGUUGCUUGAAAAAUGGCAGAAGGUAGUGAAACAAAAUGGUGGAUACACUGUUCAACCAAGUUCUUGGUGAAAAUGAAAAAUGUGUCCUUUAUUUUUACUCAAAAGCUGAAGGAAUUUCUUGGCCAACCCAAUAAAAAGCCAACACAAAGAAGAGGAGGCUGAAGUCAGAGAACCCCAUGUGCAGAUAUUUCUAAUGAAAUAGAUGACACUCAAUAAUAUUUUUGUUUUUAUUUUACAAAACAUGCAUUUUAAAACUUUUAAAAAAAUAGCAAGAAAACAAAACUUGGGACAGGAGAGUGGAUGGAAGACAGAUGCUUCUCAGCUGUCAGCAGGAGUGAAGCCAGCAGCCAAGCUUUGUCUAGGACCCAAAGGCCCUUUUGGCAAUGAUGAUGUUGGCAACACUGGUUUGCUGGGACCACCAGACUCUAAAUGCUUGCCCCUCUGAGCAGUCCUCAAGCAGCCAGACGUAGGCUAGGUCUUGAGUUACUGCUGUAUCCUAUCAGUGUCUGGGACUUCAGUAGGAACUGGGCGUUUUGGUUCCAGGAGCUUUUCUACCUGUGUAUUAAUUACCCCCAGGACAGUGAUUAAGGACACGCAUUACUUUCCAUCUGGGUCAGUCUAGGCGGUUUCUGGCCCACUCUUUUGCAAAGGAUGAAGAAGGAGUCUGGCUCCUAGACCUUCUGCGGCAGUUCCGCUGCAUUCCAGUUCUGUUAAUAGCACCAUCUGUAGACCCUGAGCAAGUCCAAUCUGGAAGUGGACAGGGCAUAGCCAACUUGGGGCUCAUCUCCCAGUUCUGGGGCCACAGAACGCUAAAGGGAGGGAGCUGUUCGCUGGGAGAGCAUGAGGUCAGAGUGCCAGCACUGAAGAGAAGACCGCUGCGUCUGUGAGAGACAAAACCAAGAGCGCUGACUCCUCAGGAGGCGGGAGAAAAAGCACCUGGGACCCCUGUCAUGAAGGAAAAAUGCAGGAGAAAAGAAGGCACGGACCUCCCCCAAAGUUUUUAGAAUUGGGAAAGAGAAGGUUAGGACCAAUAGAGAGCUUCAACAAUAAAACUGAUUUCUGAUUUCACUGAAUAUUGGAAGGAGGAAGCGCUUUGUGAACGGUUAAGUGCUUUCUAUCACAAACAGAAGGCUGGGGCGGUGCUGCUUCAGCAUCACCACUGUUCUUAUUUGGAAAAGGAAAAAAAUGGCAACCCGCUCUAGUACUCUCGCCUGAGGAUCCCAUGGACAGAGGAGCCUGGCAGGCUACAGUCCACGGGGUUGAAGAGAGUCGGACAGGACUGAGCGACUUCACUUUCCCUUUCACAGUUACUAUGGCGGCUGUAAUCUUCACAACCCCCCAGACCCGCUCCCCCGCCCCGCCCCAGACCUUACUCUUGGGGCUUGUCUGGCCCUCAGGCUCGGGCACCUUCCAGUCCAUCUUUCGACCUUUCUCGUAAAGGCCCUUGAGAACUUUGUGGAAGGACUCGGGCUCGGUGCCGUUUUUGCUUAGUUCCAGAUACUUCCGGUAAAGCUGAAGGGCCGUGCGGGCGUCCUCGAUGCUGUCAUGGGUCUCCCCCUGAAUCUUCAGGUCUGGGGGCAGCAGAGGUGGGGCAGUUCGGGACCCAGCAACGGCAGGCAAGACCACGUCCUCUACUCACAUCCCCUCUCAAUCAACAACAAAGGAUCCCUGACUGCCCUUAAGGGAAAGGGCCAAGCACCACCCCCAGUGCACAAAAGGGAUACUGAAGCCAAUUAAAUCCACCUGUAACGUGGUUCAGGGUUACCCCCAGUCCCUUGGCCGCUCACCCGUUUUCAUGCUCUUGCCGCACACAGGACGUGCAAGGCAGGGGAACUCACCCAGAAAGUACCAAGCGAGGAACCGCAGGGAAAUCAUUCGUUUUCGGGGCAUGUGAAAUAGAUAAACAGUGUCAAGGACUUGGUCCUUGGGCACCUGCCAGGGAUAAAAGAGUGGGAGACUGAAUGCAGGGGAUCCGUAAUUUCCCAUUUUCCCAAAACACAAUGUAUGCCCUGGGGGGCCCACACAAAGAAAGACUCUUAAAAGAGCCCUGCCCGAACCAUGAGGUUGAUGACCCGGAAGUCCUUUUGCAGACCGUGACCCACAAACUUGACUCCAAUGUCUAUGAGAAAACGAAGCUUUAAGUAGGUAGACUUUAGCGUUGUGAGGUGCUUAGAGGAAAUCUUGGCAUCAAGGUCUCCUGGCUUUAUCCCUGAGUACUGAGUCAAGUAAUCCACCACCUAGGGAUGCAGAAAAGGUCAAGUCACACAAGAAGCGAAAUGCACAAUUCCCCCUGCCGCUCGUCCCCAGGUUCGAGGCCUUCUGUGAAAGCACAGUCUUUCACAUUUGCACACCCGCCCCCGAUACCUGCUCCUGGGUGGAGAUGUAGUCAUCGAUGAAGGGGAUGCCCUCGUUGGGCCCCUGGCCCCUGACGCAGGUGAUCCUCGCCACUGACAUCUGGCUCGGCUUGAUGGUCGAUUUGGUGCCGUCGCUGCGGAGCUCUGCUUCCUCCUGUGUCAGAGUCCACAGGGAAACCAGAGAAGUGCCCGCGACCCCUGACGCCCCCAGAGUUCUGUCCCAACACCCCGCCCUUCUGGCCUUGGUUACCUCAUUGAGGGUGACAAACUCCGCGUCCAGGCCCACCAAGUCCCCAACCUGUGGCAUCUCAUUCAGCAUCAGGGGAAUAAAAGUAGUAUGUGUUUUCCGCUGCUUCCGUGCUAAUGAGGCUUCAGCCAGCAGAACGCUUGCCUCAAUAGGAUUCUUAACUGGAGGGGAGAAUCCAGAAGACAGAUGGCUGGGGAGAGGCAAGGGAUCAGGGGAGGGAAACCAGAGUGGCUGACUACAGACUGGGUCUACACCAUGAUCCCAAUAAUCAAAGCCUGUGACUAAAAAGAUCAUGUCUGAUGAACAGAACAGGCCGACGAACAGGUCAAAUCAGAAAAUUAUCAAGAAAUAUGCUAAGAAAAAAAAACACAAAGGAGUGAGAUUUUCACUUUGGACUUUACCACAGAAAAUCCAGAAUUAAAAAAAAAGAAAAAAGAAAGCCCAGAAUAAUAUAGUUUAUUACGACACACACAAAAAAGAAGAGAUCCUUACUUGGAGAAAAGCUCAAUAUUAUACCUUAGCCAUUUUCAGAUAUCCCUCCUCAUCACCUCUUCUAACUACGCCCUCAGGAUCCCCAGCUUCUGAAUUUAAGGCCUGAUGAGCAGAAUCACUCUACUGUCCCUGGAAAUAUUAACACUGGUUGCCAGUCCUAACAAGCUGUUUUCCAGAUCUCUUCCUGCAGAUGAAUCUUAUUGCUCACACCCUUGGGUCUACACUGUCCCACUUACUGUUCAGGUUGUAUCUGGAAUUAAGAUUCCUUUUGAUGUAAUAAAGGAUGGCAGGCACUUUCCAA